GGGGACGAACAAAUGACGGUACUGAGGAGGAAGCCCCGGCUAACUAGUGCCAGCAGCCGGGUAUUACGUAGGGGCAAGCGUUUUCCGGAAUUACUGGGUGUAAAGGGAGGCCAGGCGGAACUGCAAGUUGGGUGUUUAAUUUACGGGCUCAACCCGUAUCAGCAUUCAAAACUGGGGUUCUUGAGUAAUGCAGAGGUAGGCGGAAUUCCCGGUGUAGCGGUGGAAUGCGUAGAUAUCGGGAGGAACCCCAGUGGCGAAGGCGGCCUACUGGGCAUCAACUGACGCUGAGGCUCGAAAGCAUGGGUAGCAAACAGGAUUAGAUACCCUGGUAGUCCAUGCUGUAAACGAUGAUUACUAGGUGUGGGAAGAUUGACCCUUUCCGUGCCGCAGUUAACACAAUAAGUAAUCCACCUGGGGAGUACGACCGCAAGGUUGAAACUCAAAGGAAUUGACGGGGGCCCGCACAAGCAGUGGAGUAUGUGGUUUAAUUCGAAGCAACGCGAAGAACCUUACCAGGUCUUGACAUCCAACGACCGCCUAAGAGAUUAGGCUUUCCUUCGGGACGUUGAGACAGGUGGUGCAUGGUUGUCGUCAGCUCGUGUCGUGAGAUGUUGGGUUAAGUCCCGCAACGAGCGCAACCCUUAUUACUAGUUACUACGCAAGAGGACUCUAGUGAGACUGCCGUUGACAAAACGGAGGAAGGUGGGGAUGACGUCAAAUCAUCAUGCCCUUUAUGACCUGGGCUACACACGUACUACAAUGGCUAUUAACAGAGAGAAGCGAGACCGCAAGGUGGAGCAAACCUCAGAAAAAUAGUCUCAGUCCGGAUUGGGGGCUGCAACCCGCCCCCAUGAAGCCGGAAUUGCUAGUAAUCGCGGAUCAGCAUGCCGCGGUGAAUACGUUCCCGGGCCUUGUACACACCGCCCGUCACACCAUGAGAGCCGGGGGGACCCGAAGUCGGUAGUCUAACCGCAAGGAGGACGCCGCCGAAGGUAAAACUGGUGAUUGGGGUGAAGUCGUAACAAGGUAACCGUAAAGGGCGAAUU
rnacentral:rRNA from 1 species